rnacentral:rRNA from 1 species
UACGUAGGGUGCAGGCGUUAAUCGGCAUUACUGGGCGUAAAGCGCGCGCAGGCGGUCUUUUAAGUCAGAUGUGAAAUCCCCGGGCUUACCCUGGGAACUGCGUUUGAAACUGGAAGGCUAGAGUGUGGCAGAGGGGGGUGGAAUUCCACGUGUAGCAGUGAAAUGCGUAGAGAUGUGGAGGAACACCGAUGGCGAAGGCAGCCCCCUGGGCUAACACUGACGCUCAUGCGCGAAAGCGUGGGGAGCAAACAGU